ACGGGUCGUACGCCGAGUUCUGCCCUAGGCCCGUCGUCCCCUCCUAGUGACCAUCAGGGCAGAAGCGGGGGAACCAGGUUCCUCCGGAUGGCCACCGCACCCAGGCGGCCGUCCUCGGGGUGAAGUCGCCGCGCAGCGCGCGCCGACCGGGCUUCCCGGCCCGAACCCGACAGCUAACCUCGCAGGCGUACGGGAAGGAUCU
rnacentral:sRNA from 2 species